UUGCCUCAAUCUUGCCAUUACUACUUCCAUUUCUUACAACAAGGUUAUCCUUAUGAGGGACAGCAUUGUACGUUACUAAGUAUCCCAAGGGAGCACGGGACACCACGUUUAAAAAAUGUAAGUUACUGUAUUAGGCUAAAGAGAAGCAUUCAGUUAGUGUUGAGUCCAUGUUUAUAUCUCAUGUUUAUUUCUCAUGUGCAUUUAUCUCUUUGAGCAGUGCGGGUAACCCAACCCAACCUCCCAACCAACCUCCCAUUCUAUUGUUUUCUCCCAUUCUAAUUAUUUCUUGUGUUGUACUUUUGUUAAUCUUUUUUAUAUUAUUAUUAAUGGCUUAUGUAGAAAUAAUAAAUUUUUUGGUGAAUCAUCCUUUUUUUUCCGACUGCUCAGAUCUGAUCAUUUUAAGCAUAUCUUUUAUCUUCAUACUUGGUGCUCUUUGCCUCAAUCUUGCCAUUACUACUUCCAUUUCUUACAACAAGGUUAUCCUUAUGAGGGACAGCAUUGUACGUUACUAAGUAUCCCAAGGGAGCACGGGACACCACGUUUAAAAAAUGUAAGUUACUGUAUUAGGCUAAAGAGAAGCAUUCAGUUAGUGUUGAGUCCAUGUUUAUAUCGCAUGUUUAUUUCUCAUGUGCAUUUAUCUCUUUGAGCAGUGCGGGUAA